UCAGGAUGAACGCUGGCGGCGUGCCUAAGGUAUGCAAGUCGAGCGGUAAGGCUUUCACAUUUUGCUUAAACGUUAUAACCCGGUCUCUAGGCUAGAGAUUGGCAGUUUGAGCAAGGCGUGAAAGUACACGAGCGGCGGACGGCUGAGUAACACGUAGGAAUGUACCCCAAAGUGAGGGAUAAGCACCGGAAACGGUGUCUAAUACCGCAUGUGCUCUUCGGAGUAAAGCUUUAUGCGCUUUGGGAACGGCCUGCGCAUGAUUAGCUUGUUGGUGAGGUAAUGGCUCACCAAGGCGACGAUCAUUAGCUGGUCUGAGAGGAUGAUCAGCCAGACUGGGACUGAGACACGGCCCAGACCCCUACGGGGGGCAGCAACUAGGAAUCUUCCACAAUGGACGAAAGUCUGAUGGAGCAACGCCGCGUGCAGGAUGAAGGCUUUCGGGUCGUAAACUGCUUUUUUCUGUGACGAUAAUGACAGUAGCAGACGAAUAAGGAUCGGCUAACUCCGUGCCAGCAGCCGCGGUCAUACGGAGGAUCCAAGCGUUAUCCGGAAUUACUGGGCGUAAAGAGUUGCGUAGGCGGUUAAGUAAGUGGUGUGUGAAAUGAUGAGGCUCAACCUCAUGCCCAUGCACUAAACUGCUUUGACUAGAGAAUGGAAGAGGUCGCUGGAAUUCCUGGUGUAGGGGCGAAAUCCGUAGAUAUCAGGAGGAACACCGAUGGCGUAGGCAGGCGACUGGUCCAUUUCUGACGCUGAGGCACGAAAGCGUGGGGAGCGAUCGGGAUUAGAUACCCCGGUAGUCCACGCCGUAAACGAUGGAUGCUAGCUGUGCGGAGUAUCGACCCUCUGCGUAGCAAAGCUAACGCGUUAAGCAUCCCGCCUGUGGAGUACGAGCGCAAGCUUAAAACAUAAAGGAAUUGA
rnacentral:rRNA from 1 species